CAUAAAUAUGUUUCGGUGGUUUUUAAAUAAUAUAUUUAAUAAAAUUAUUUAAACCUCGUUGUAAGCAGAGCAAACAAAGUCGCAGCAGUAAUGCACAAGUCCACAAGUGAGAGUGAGACGAAACUUUGCAGAUAAGCAGCGCAGUUUGCUUUUGCUCGUUGAAAGAGUGAGAGAGUGGUUGAACGUACGAGAGCAGCGAAAAUCGUGUGUGAAGCAAACUUAUAAAACAACGAACGACGCAUAUGAACGUCGGCGUUGGAAAAAUGUAAAGCGGAGCAUUGCAAAUGUCAAUAAACUCUAUAAAGAUGAAGAUUCUCUCAAAAUGGGACUGCAGCAACGCCACGUAUCGCCUCUUCACCAACUGCAGCAGCGCACCUUGAAGUGAACCAGAACUUCAUAAACACACGCACUCGCACAAUAUUGUUCGACAGAAAAAAAUCGCAUAAAUUAGAGUUAAAUAAUAACAAAGAAGAAAGUAAACCCGUUAGAAAAACAUACAAAAUGUCCACCACAAAGACAGAAAACGCUACUGCUGCUGGCGCCAAUUCCACAGUGACCGCCUUUGGCACAACAUUGGCUAGCAGUGCAUUCCAAGUGCCCGUGAAUAUGCACAGCCAUCCACAAGUAAUCACGAACGGCGGCAAUAAUAGUCACAGUACUAAUGGCGCUACAACAACAACAACCACCACCACAACAACACGCAACAAUAUUUCCGUCACGAAUAUCAAAUGUGAAAUGGACGAGAGUAUAGCGGCAUCGCUGAUGCCCAAUGGCAAUAUAGUGCCCGUCAUAGCAGCGACGGGAUCAGCAGCCAGUUAUUAUAAUGGAGCCAGUAGUGGUAGUGGGAGUGGAAGUGGUGGGGGUGCCGGUGCCGGUGCCGGCGGUCUCGGAGUGGGUAUACGUAUACCAGUGACGAAAGCGGAAGAUUCCGAUUCAGAGACUGAGCUGACGAAUAUUGAGAAUUUGAAGGUAACGCGUCGUGUACACAACAGCGCGGAAAGCAACAGCACGGCAGAUAAUGGCAAUAAUACUGUUGUUGGUGGCAGCUGUUAUAAUGGAAGUCACAAUAAAAACGGACCACGUCCCAUGUCCUGGGAGGGAGAACUCUCCGAAACGGAGACGACUGAGACCGAGCUCAUGGAGACGGAGAAUUCGUUAAGCAACAGCGGCAUGACGAACAUGUGUAAUAUGAGCGCGUCUGGUAUUGUUGAUGGUAGCAUGGGUAUGACGGUAAUCAAGAGUGAGGCGACCACAACAACGCCUGGACAUCCGUUGGCGCCAACGCCUACACAUCCCAUAAAACCCGAACAGAUGGAACAGUUAUCUGUUGAAGUUCACGGUGGUGGCUCCGUUGCGGCUAUGGGCCCCACACCUGUGCGCAGUGGUUUAGGCAGCAGCAGCAGUGCAGGUAGCCUAUACUCUGCCACACACACAAAACUCGCACCGACUCAAAGUGAUCCGAUAAAUCUGAAGUAUGAACCAGAUACUUCCGUCACUGGUUCAUUUUCAGCUGGCGCCAAUGUUAAUUCACCACUUUUGACGCGCAACAAAUCAGCUACAUUGCCACUGCCUGCCAAUCCCAGCCCAGAUUCUGCCAUACAUUCCGUCUACACGCACAGCUCACCGUCGCAGUCACCACUGACGUCGCGGCAUGCGCCCUACACACCGUCGCUUAGUCGCAAUAACAGCGAUGCAUCGCACAGCUCUUGCUACUCGUACAGUUCCGAGUUUAGCCCAACACAUUCACCCAUCCAGGGUCGACAUGCACCACCCGCACCUGCACUCUAUGGCAACUUCAAUGGUACAUCGUUGCAUCACUCGGUCAUCUAUCGUCCCAUCACCGUGGCCGAUAAUGCAGCUGCCGGAACGGCUGCUAAUGGCAGUGCCGGCGUUAACUGCAGUGCGGAAGCGCAAAAUCUUAGCAUGGAUACAAAAGUCUCGCCACUCAAUAUUGGACUCGAAGGCUUGCCAGCGUCACCAGCUGGCAUUUCACGACAACAGCUCAUCAAUUCGCCCUGUCCCAUUUGCGGUGAUAAAAUUUCAGGCUUCCAUUAUGGUAUUUUCUCAUGUGAAUCUUGUAAGGGCUUCUUCAAACGCACUGUACAGAAUCGUAAAAACUACGUGUGCGUACGUGGCGGUCCUUGUCCGGUUAGUAUUUCGACGCGUAAGAAAUGUCCUGCAUGUCGUUUUGAGAAGUGUCUACAGAAGGGCAUGAAACUCGAAGCGAUACGUGAAGAUCGUACACGUGGUGGGCGUUCCACUUACCAGUGCUCAUAUACGUUGCCCAAUUCGAUGCUGAGUCCACUACUGAGUCCGGAACAGCAAGGAGUAGCUGCGGCAGUGGCGGCAGCUGCUGUGGCAGCGGCCAGUCAACAGCAGCAGCAUGGGCGUCUAGGUGCACAAAUGUCGCAUGGCAUGUCUGCGCAACAACAACAACAUAUAAUGAAUGGCCUGACAGGAGGUGUCGGAGGUGGUGGGGCAGCGCAAACCACAAUUAAGUCGGAGCAGUGUGAGGAGAGUGGAACCUCAAGGCGGGCCACAAACAUUCCAUUAUUAUUACAGGAAAUCAUGGAUGUUGAGCAUCUAUGGCAAUACAAUGAAGCUGAAUUGGCACGUCUGAAUCAACCCAUUUCCACAUCGUCUUCUUCCUCUUCCAACGCCUCCUCAACGUCAUCGUCGACCGCCGCAAAUGGCGCUGGCACAGCCAAUCCGCAAAUGACAAAUCCUCUCCUAGCCAGUGCUGGUUUUGGCAAUGGUGAGAAUACCAAUCCCGAUCUGAUUGCACAUUUAUGUAAUGUGGCCGAUCAUCGAUUGUAUAAGAUUGUGAAAUGGUGCAAGAGUUUGCCGCUCUUCAAACAUAUUUCGAUCGACGAUCAAAUUUGCCUACUAAUCAAUUCGUGGUGUGAAUUGUUGCUAUUUUCGUGCUGCUAUCGAUCGAUCGAUACGCCGGGCGAAAUAAAGAUGUCACAAGGCAAAAAGAUUAGUUUAGCCCAGGCAAAAUCAAGUGGCUUACAGGUGAGCAGCAAGCAAAAAAAUGCCUGCAUUGAACGAAUGUUGAACCUGACGGAGAACUUGAGACGCUUACGUGUCGAUCGCUAUGAAUAUGUUGCCAUGAAAGUGAUUGUGCUGUUGCAGUCGGACACCACCGAAUUGCAUGAACCAGUUAAAGUACGCGAAUGUCAAGAGAAAGCGUUGCAAGCCUUACAGGCUUACACUCUGGCGCACUACCCUGACACGCCAUCUAAAUUCGGUGAACUGUUGCUGCGCAUACCAGAUCUGCAAAAGACAUGCCAGCUUGGCAAGGAGAUGCUCACCAUAAAAUCACGUGAUGGCGGUGAUUUCAAUUUACUUAUGGAACUGCUACGCGGAGAACAUUGACAAAUAUUGUUGCAAAUUGUCCGCAGUAGAGUGCAACAGCUGGUUGAAGCAGUGACAAGUGCAAAACUAUCAACAUCAUCGCUGGAUGAUGACGAGCACAAAUGCCAGCUGCAGAAAUGGCAAAGUGCAAUGAAGUGCUCUAGCAAGGUUUAUACUUUUUCGACUUGCUUAAUGGCAGCUGUACACCUAUUCAAUAAGUUUGAUACUAAAAAAAUUCCCAUAGCUUUUAGUUGAGCUUUGAACUUUUCAAAAGCUUUCCACAAUAUUCUUUAUUUCUCAUUUCGUGUCAAUGAGACAUAAUAAGAAAAAACAUGUAUUAAAAACUUUCUCCAUGCUAAAUUCUUUUAAA